CUUGCCUUUUUUUUUUUUAAACAAAACAAAACACCAAGGCACAAUUUUUUUUAAAAAGUUCACCAAGUAAAAUAUUCCCGGUUUGUUUGUGUAAUAUUUAAUCCUUGGCAGUUACCACAUAUCUCAUAUUCUCUUUGCAGAUCACUUUACCUACUUUUCUCGUUACUUGAAAGCACACACUGGAUAUACAGCCUGGUGCUCUACAGUCACUUCCAUGGAGUACUGAAUAAAUAACUAUGGACUUUCAUAUGGAUAUGUAUAGUAAAUAGGACUUGGGGAGCUGACUGUGGCACAUCUCUACAGAUAAGGUCCAGAGAUGUGCCUUAAAUGGAACACAGCACUGCAUUGUAAUUUCCUGUUUGCUGACCUCUCUCAAGAGGACUGAAGCUGAAUACUCAUCUUUCUGCACUUCUGGAUCACCAAGUGUUUACCAUGAAGCAGCUGUUAAGACAUGAGCUUGCAAAGAGUAACCAUCAGUGAAAGAUUUCAAUGGUCACUGCUUGGAACCACCACCUGAUCCCACCUGAUCCUCAGCCUGUGUGGCUGAAUUCUGCUCAUCAAACCCAAUACCUUUUUCUGUUGUCAAUUUUCUCUCGGGUCAGCAGUUCCUUUUGCCAGGUUCACCAAGUACAACUCUUAGAAAACAUACUAUAUUUGGUUAUAUUGAAAACAACAGUAACCUUUUCCACAGUAGAGAGAAUGAAUUUUUUGAGGAGCAAAUGGUAAGUUUGGACUGAGCUAGUAUGAAUAAUAACAAAAUCUUCAGAAGUGUGAGCACACAAACUAUUUUCAAAAGCAUACACUUUCCAUGGUGUUACACGUCAUUCUCAUACCAUCUACACUGAGGUACACAGGUAAGUAUAAAAUCUGAGUAACUUGUUUUUAAAACAAAGAUACCCCUUGCUACUUGAGAGGGCAAGUGAGGAUCUGUAUUGAUCCAUUUCUUACAAUGCAUCUCAUCCCCUCAGCCAGUAACUGAGCAGUUUAAAAAUAGAAUUUAGUUAAGCCAAGUAAAUGUAUCAAUCCACCCCCUACUCACCCAUCCCCCCAAUAGUUCUUCAGUAAUUAUUCUGUGAGGCACUGUGCUGGAUAAUGGAGACAUCAAGAGCAGUGAAACAUCAUUCUCACCAUCAAUAAGCUUACAGAACAAUGAAAGAAAUAGCCAGUAACCACAACGCAGUGAGAUAGCACAUAAUACAGGCAUGAGCAGAUUGUAAAAAUAGUCCCUAACUGCCAAGAAUGAGGUUCAGAAAGGUGAUGUUGGAGCUGUAACUUGAAAUAAACUGUCUGUAUAUCUUUCUCAGAAUAAGGAAGUACUCCAAUAAUGAUUUACACUAAAAUAUCCCCUAUGGGAGUAAAAAAUGAAAAUUAAAUGCUCUAUAAACUGCCACUUUAUGAUGUGUUCACAUAUGAAGAUUAUGGUCUCUGCAAAUUGAGAUGGUCCUGCUGCUACUAAUUUAAGAAGGCAAAAUCAAAGGUGUGCAAAAGGUGAGUUAGAGUUUAUAAGGCAGGACCUCAUGUAGGUAGCCAGGCUGCCCUUGAACUCUCGUGUAGCCGAGGGUGACCAUGAACUCCUCCUCCUGCCUCUACUUCAGAAGUGCUAGUAUUACAGGGACAUUGUUUUGUUUUAACCAAGACUGCUUCCUAAAUGUAUUAAGAAAUUUCUCUCUUUAUCUCUCUCUUUCAGAGAGAGAAUAAAAAGGACACGAAGGCACAAAAUGGGCACUUGAAAUCCACCUGCAAAAGUUACUCAUGCAAAUGAAGCAUUAGAGAAGCCUCCUGAGUGCCAAAGAAGUUAGGCUCUACAAAAGAGAACUCCAACAGCGCCGCACGGCACAGCCACUACGUCCUUAGAUGCUUCUGGAAAUGAUCACCGUGGGGCUUUUCAAAGCCCAGAGGAUUUCUACAUUAAAAUAAAGCAACAGACAUCAAGCCUAGAAUGACUUCAGAGUUGCAGAUAUGAACUGCACCGAAGGAUGGAUGGUCUGCUCCAAAUAACAGGACAAAGGGCCUAGACCCACUCAAUUUCACAGUGAUGAUACAUGUAGAUGACCUGAGGCACAAGCUGUGAUUGAUCCUAAGAAAAUGAAAGUUAGAAUGUCGUUCCAAAUCCUUAGUUCAUGAUUUCAAAGAGCUGAGCUGUUUCAUUUCUGUUCAUUAAACACAUUUUAGAUCUUU